rnacentral:lncRNA from 1 species
UGUUAGGUGUCAUUGAACCCCUGGACACCAGUGGAACAUUAUCGUUGGUAGCGAGGAUAUCUGUCUGUUGACUGGAUGGCAAACAAACCUCUGAACUUACAGCGCAAACACUGAUGACCUUGACUGGAAUGUGCAAAACAGGCAUCGACUGGAAUGUUACAGCAAACAAAAGACUCCAGUGAAUUUUAAUUGGCAAACUCUUAGCGUGUGUAGCAGCUUAAGGCUCCACCCUUCAACCGAAUCAUUCCCAGCGGGACCUGGGGAAGAGUGACAACAAGCAAACAACAACGCAAGGACACAACAGACGAUGCUCCAAAACACACUGCCACAAUCAGAGGAACGCACCUGAGACAAAUCUGGGACACACACAAAGACACAAUGUAUUUGAAGGGCAUGUCCAUGAGAGGAACAGCUUGUGCGGUGUGUCGAGGUUACAGGUCCCAAAACAGAGUUAACCUGUGGUCUGGGUUCUUCGAUUGACUGAAUGUGGGAUUUAGUCCCUCACACUUCAAGCUUUGUCAACAGCAGUACAGUAGUAAACACCAUGUCGCUGAACGCUCCAUUCUGAGACCACUCCACUCCUCAGGAACGAGUUCCCAGCCUCCCACUGGAUCGUCUUACCAGUUCUGUUGACGUCUCCCGUUAUUUAAUAAUGAUAAACAGUACGUCUACGGCAGCAUUGUGUGUUGCUCCGGAGAUGUUUAAGAGCGUCAUUAGUGGCAAUAAAACUGCUGUUUGAACAGCAUUUGUGUCUGUGAAGUGGGGAUUGAUGGUAUAGAGAGGACUGUGUGCCAAUCUCGAGAUUAGGGUUCCAUUCAAUCUAAUCCACAAGGGGAUUUUGGAGUUAAAUCUCCUGUAAAUAAUAAUGCUCCACUGCAAACAUGUUGGCACAGUGAUCUUAUUUGACUGUUUACAACAAUCCAGUUGCACAUUGUAUCACAGCAGGCAAGUGGUGCAUUCUAAUUGAUUUCAUUGGAUAGGGCCCGCAGUCAUGUUACCGGGCAGACUGGGCUCGAGCCUCUCUGUGGCUAUUCAGCUCUGAGGUCAUGAUUUCAACAAACAGGGCAGGAUGUCAAACAUCUUUAUCAGCAGAGUGAGCAUUUACAUCACAUAAUAUAGGCAGAAAUUAUGUGACAUAUUCCUAUACAAAACAUGCCAUAUCCCUACUGUGUAUAUAUACAGUUGAAGUCGGAAGUUUACAUACACUUAGGUUGGAGUCUUUAAAACUCGUUUUUCAGCCACUCCACAAAUUCCUUGUUAACAAACUAUAGUCGGUUAGGACAUCUACUUUGUGCAUGACACAAGUCAUUUUUUCAACAAUUGUUACAGACAGAUUAUUUCACUUAUAAUUCACUGUAUCACAAUUCCAAUGACAGAAGUUUACGUACACACGGUUGACAGUGCCUUUAAUCAGCUUGGAAAUUUCCCGAAAAGGAUGUUUAGAAGCUUCUGAUAGGCUAAUUGGCAUCAUUUGAGUCAAUCGGAAGUGUAUCUGUGGAUGUAUUACAAGGCCUACCUUCAAACUCGGUACCAUUUUCAUGAGAAAAUCAGCCAUGACCUCAGAAAAAACAUUGUAGACCUCCACAAGUCUGGUUCAUCCUUGUGAGCAAUCUCCAAACGCCUGAAGGUACCACGUUCAUCUGUACAAACAAUAGUAUGCAAGUAUAAACACCAUGGGACCACGCAGCCGUCAUACCGCUCAGGAAGGAGACGCGUUCUGUCUCCUAGAGAUGAACGUACUUUGGUGCGAAAAGUGCAAAUCAAUCCCAGAAAAACAGCAAAGGACCUUGUGAAGAUGCUGGAGGAAACAGGUACAAAAGUAUCUACAUUCACAGUAAAACGAGUCCUAUAUUGACAUAACCUGAAAGGCCGCUCAGCAAGGAAGAAGCCACUGCUCAAAAACCGUCAUAAAAACGGCAG